UACGUAGGGUGCGAGCGUUGUCCGGAAUUACUGGGCGUAAAGAGCUCGUAGGUGGUUUGUCGCGUUGUUCGUGAAAACUCACAGCUCAACUGUGGGCGUGCGGGCGAUACGGGCAGACUGGAGUACUGCAGGGGAGACUGGAAUUCCUGGUGUAGCGGUGGAAUGCGCAGAUAUCAGGAGGAACACCGGUGGCGAAGGCGGGUCUCGUGGGCAGUAACUGACGCUGGAGGAGCGAAAGCCGUGGGGAGCGAACAGG
rnacentral:rRNA from 1 species